GCCAGUGUGACUUAGUGGUUUGAGUGCUAGACUGUGACUCUGGAGACCAAAGUUUGAUUCUCACUCAGCUCAGCCA